rnacentral:rRNA from 1 species
AGAGUUUGAUCCUGGCUCAGGAUGAACGCUGGCGGCGUGCUUAACACAUGCAAGUCGAACGAAGCACUUUAUUUGAUUUCUUCGGAAUGAAGAUUUUGUGACUGAGUGGCGGACGGGUGAGUAACGCGUGGGUAACCUGCCUCAUACAGGGGGAUAACAGUUGGAAACGACUGCUAAUACCGCAUAAGCGCACAGGAUCGCAUGAUCCGGUGUGAAAAACUCCGGUGGUAUGAGAUGGACCCGCGUCUGAUUAGCCAGUUGGCAGGGUAACGGCCUACCAAAGCGACGAUCAGUAGCCGACCUGAGAGGGUGACCGGCCACAUUGGGACUGAGACACGGCCCAAACUCCUACGGGAGGCAGCAGUGGGGAAUAUUGCACAAUGGGGGAAACCCUGAUGCAGCGACGCCGCGUGAGCGAAGAAGUAUUUCGGUAUGUAAAGCUCUAUCAGCAGGGAAGAAAAUGACGGUACCUGACUAAGAAGCCCCGGCUAACUACGUGCCAGCAGCCGCGGUAAUACGUAGGGGGCAAGCGUUAUCCGGAUUUACUGGGUGUAAAGGGAGCGUAGACGGUUUUGCAAGUCUGAAGUGAAAGCCCGGGGCUUAACCCCGGGACUGCUUUGGAAACUGUAGAACUAGAGUGCAGGAGAGGUAAGUGGAAUUCCUAGUGUAGCGGUGAAAUGCGUAGAUAUUAGGAGGAACACCAGUGGCGAAGGCGGCUUACUGGACGGUAACUGACGUUGAGGCUCGAAAGCGUGGGGAGCAAACAGGAUUAGAUACCCUGGUAGUCCACGCCGUAAACG